rnacentral:rRNA from 1 species
UACGUAGGGUGCAAGCGUUAUCCGGAAUUAUUGGGCGUAAAGAGCUCGUAGGCGGUUUGUCGCGUCCGCUGUGAAAACUGGAGGCUCAACCUCCAGCCUGCAGUGGGUACGGGCAAACUAGAGUGCGGUAGGGGAGAUUGGAAUUCCUGGUGUAGCGGUGGAAUGCGCAGAUAUCAGGAGGAACACCGAUGGCGAAGGCAGAUCUCUGGGCCGUAACUGACGCUGAGGAGCGAAAGCAUGGGGAGCGAACAGG